UACGUAGGGUGCGAGCGUUAAUCGGAAUUACUGGGCGUAAAGCGUGCGCAGGCGGUUUUGUAAGCCAGAUGUGAAAUCCCCGGGCUUAACCUGGGAAUGGCAUUUGGGACUGCAAGGCUUGAGUGCGGCAGAGGAGACUGGAAUUCCUGGUGUAGCAGUGAAAUGCGUAGAUAUCAGGAGGAACACCGGUGGCGAAGGCGGGUCUCUGGGCCGAUACUGACACUGAGGAGCGAAAGCGUGGGGAGCGAACAGG
rnacentral:rRNA from 1 species